rnacentral:snRNA from 1 species
GGAAGUGAGGGUGAUCUGGUCACCCUGUUGUUCACCUGGGUCGAUUUGGUUGUUCUGACGACCUAAACCGAUGUUCCCUCUUUCCUUCACUGCUCCAUCUGCAUCCCUCCUGAAGCUGUGUGCUCCGAGAAGAUGACCUUCCCCAAUAGAGGACCAGUCUGCAGUCGAAGGUAGAGGAGUAGCUGCACUACCUUGUUAGAACCUCCAAACAAGCCCUCAAAAUCCAUUUGUAGAACAGAGGAUAUUUCAGUCCAUUCUCUGUUACUUAAUAAAUGAUACCUGAAACUGGG